AUGGUCCCAGGCGAUACCCUCCCAGCCCUGCUAGGAGCAGAGGGGCUGCUGACACCAGCCGCUGCAGAAACRCCGGCCACCGCCUCCAGCUCUUCCUCCCRGCUCUCYGUCAUCACAACRGGGACAACCGCCUGCAACAGCCUCCGCUCUCCUCUGCCCUCUCAGGGGGCUUCCUCUUCAGAGCCUCCCCACGGCUGCUGGGGAGACCCUGGGGCUGCAGUGGCCUCGUGGGCAUGGGUGYCCGUGGCCCAGGGGAGCUCCUCRUGCCCAGGGCCCAGAUGUCUCCUGCUCCGGGAUGGGCCCUGUGCRGGGGCUGGUGACCCCUCUGCAGCUGGAGGGCUGUCCGGGCGGGAAGAGGCUGCGGGGCGUCCCUGCCUGCCUGCGGGAGCACGGGGGUCCCUGGGCGCCUGGGGAGCGACGGCCUCCCCAGAGCUGGCACACCUGGCCUUGGUGGUGAACUUGCAGAUGAACUGCUCCGUGCAUCCCAGCAAGAAUGGCCCCAGGUCAUCCGCAAAGGCCGGGCUGCCCACGUYGUACCUCCGCAUGUUCGUGGUGACGAUAAACUCCACCGCGGYGGCCAGUGUCUGGCGGCACCRAAGAGGAGGCGCAGCUCCCGCUUCAGCCAAGGCAGCAGCCUCUGCAGCACAGCCRGGUGGUGUCGGAAAAAGGCCGCCGAGAGCUCUGGCAGGUGGUCGCCGUCGGGCACCUCUGUCCCCUGCCCCACAGUGCGGGGCCGAGGGCGGUGGGAGCGCAGCCCCUGCUCCUGCUCCGGYGCCUGCCUCCAAGGGGUUCCCGCRGGACGCRCCAUCCUCCGGGAGAGUGGGCUCCUACUUCAGCCUGCCCGCGCUGCCUCCCUCUGCCRCAGCACAGCCAAGCCCGACGGCCCUGGCAGCCCGGUGCCGUCCUCAGGAGGGGACGGCACCCGUGGAGGGGAGGGAUCUGGCCACAGCAGGGCUGCCGGGGCAAGUGUCCAGGGCAGGUUGGGGAAGAAAGCAGCUCCCCAUGGCUGGAAGCUGGCGACGGAGCCGCCUGCAGGAGGCCCGACGGUGA
rnacentral:lncRNA from 1 species